GAAUUUGUGAUUGAGCCAUGGUGGGGAGUUUGUCUUGUCAACUUUACAUUGGAAGAAUUUAAGAAACUCUCAGAAGAAGAAAUGGCAACAAUUGAUAAAGUUUGUAAGGAGGAAGCAAAUUCAUUGAUACUUUUUGAUCCUGAAAUUGUGAAGGGCCUUUUCCGAAGGGGGUUGAUCUACUUUCAUGUCCCUGUUUAUCCUGAUGAUAGUUUUAAAGGUAAUUUCUUUGCAUCCAGAAUUGUCAUAUCAAAAUUAGUUGCUUAGUUUUCCUUUUAUUUUUUUUCCUGUUUAUGUCUUCUUCUUCUUCUUCUUUUAUUUUUUUUAUUAUCAAUUUUAUUUACUUUUCAUUUCUCAUAACUUUGAGUAUUUCAUUUUAGAAGGUCCAUAUCAUGUAUUUUCUUUGUGGGAGCAUGCUAUUCUGGCAAAUAGUAUAGCAUGAUUUGCACAA